GAUGAACGCUGGCGGCGUGCCUAAUACAUGCAAGUCGAGCGAACGGACGAGAAGCUUGCUUCUCUGAUGUUAGCGGCGGACGGGUGAGUAACACGUGGGUAACCUACCUAUAAGACUGGGAUAACUUCGGGAAACCGUAGCUAAUACCGGAUAAUAUUUUGAACCGCAUGGUUCAAAAGUGAAAGACGGUCUUGCUGUCACUUAUAGAUGGAUCCGCGCUGCAUUAGCUAGUUGGUAAGGUAACGGCUUACCAAGGCAACGAUGCAUAGCCGACCUGAGAGGGUGACCGCCCACACUGGAACGGAGCCACGGCCCAGACCCCUACGGGAGGCACGAGUGGGGAAUAUCCGGAAAUGGCCGAAAGCCUGAGGGAGCAACGCCGCGUGGGGGAUGAAGGUCUUCGGAUCUAAAAACUUUUUUAUUGGGAAAAAAAAGUAGUAAAAGAAUCUCUCCAUUUCUGGACGGUACCAAAUCAAAAGCCCACGGCUAAGUUCGUC
rnacentral:rRNA from 1 species